CGCCAGACUCCUACGGGAGGCAGCAGUGGGGGAUAUUGCACAAUGGGGGGAACCCUGAUGCAGCGACGCCGCGUGGGUGAAGAAGCGCCUCGGCGCGUAAAGCCCUGUCAGCAGGGAAGAAAAUGACGGUACCUGAAGAAGAAGCCCCGGCUAACUACGUGCCAGCAGCCGCGGUAAUACGUAGGGGGCAAGCGUUAUCCGGAUUUACUGGGUGUAAAGGGAGCGUAGACGGUGAAGCAAGUCUGAAGUGAAAGGCGGGGGCUCAACCCCCGGACUGCUUUGGAAACUGUUUGACUGGGGUGCAGGAGAGGUAAGUGGAAUUCCUAGUGUAGCGGUGAAAUGCGUAGAUAUUAGGAGGAACACCAGUGGCGAAGGCGGCCUGCUGGGCUUUUACUGACGCUGAGGCUCGAAAGUGUGGGGAGCAAACAGGAUUAGAUACCCCUGUA
rnacentral:rRNA from 1 species